rnacentral:rRNA from 1 species
GACGAACGCUGGCGGCGUGCUUAACACAUGCAAGUCGAACGGAAAGGCCCUGCUUUUGUGGGGUGCUCGAGUGGCGAACGGGUGAGUAACACGUGAGUAACCUGCCCUUGACUUUGGGAUAACUUCAGGAAACUGGGGCUAAUACCGGAUAGGAGCUCCUGCUGCAUGGUGGGGGUUGGAAAGUUUCGGCGGUUGGGGAUGGACUCGCGGCUUAUCAGCUUGUUGGUGGGGUAGUGGCUUACCAAGGCUUUGACGGGUAGCCGGCCUGAGAGGGUGACCGGCCACAUUGGGACUGAGAUACGGCCCAGACUCCUACGGGAGGCAGCAGUGGGGAAUAUUGCACGAUGGGCGGAAGCCUGAUGCAGCAACGCCGCGUGCGGGAUGACGGCCUUCGGGUUGUAAACCGCUUUCGCCUGUGACGAAGCGUGAGUGACGGUAAUGGGUAAAGAAGCACCGGCUAACUACGUGCCAGCAGCCGCGGUGAUACGUAGGGUGCGAGCGUUGUCCGGAUUUAUUGGGCGUAAAGGGCUCGUAGGUGGUUGAUCGCGUCGGAAGUGUAAUCUUGGGGCUUAACCCUGAGCGUGCUUUCGAUACGGGUUGACUUGAGGAAGGUAGGGGAGAAUGGAAUUCCUGGUGGAGCGGUGGAAUGCGCAGAUAUCAGGAGGAACACCAGUGGCGAAGGCGGUUCUCUGGGCCUUUCCUGACGCUGAGGAGCGAAAGCGUGGGGAGCGAACAGGCUUAGAUACCCUGGUAGUCCACGCUGUAAACGGUGGGUACUAGGUGUGGGGUCCAUUCCACGGGUUCCGUGCCGUAGCUAACGCUUUAAGUACCCCGCCUGGGGAGUACGGCCGCAAGGCUAAAACUCAAAGGAAUUGACGGGGCCCCGCACAAGCGGCGGAGCAUGCGGAUUAAUUCGAUGCAACGCGUAGAACCUUACCUGGGUUUGACAUGGAUCGGGAGUGCUCAGAGAUGGGUGUGCCUCUUUUGGGGUCGGUUCACAGGUGGUGCAUGGCUGUCGUCAGCUCGUGUCGUGAGAUGUUGGGUUAAGUCCCGCAACGAGCGCAACCCUUGUUCACUGUUGCCAGCACGUUAUGGUGGGGACUCAGUGGAGACCGCCGGGGUCAACUCGGAGGAAGGUGGGGAUGACGUCAAGUCAUCAUGCCCCUUAUGUCCAGGGCUUCACGCAUGCUACAAUGGCUGGUACAGAGAGUGGCGAGCCUGUGAGGGUGAGCGAAUCUCGGAAAGCCGGUCUCAGUUCGGAUUGGGGUCUGCAACUCGACCUCAUGAAGUCGGAGUCGCUAGUAAUCGCAGAUCAGCAACGCUGCGGUGAAUACGUUCCCGGG